AUUUUGGUUUUUGCAGGAAUUAUCUAGAUAAGACAGAUGCUGUAAAGGCUCCAAAAUAUAGACAGAAUGGCAAGUUGCUGGUGGUUGCUCCAAAGGAAAAAGUGAUGAUUGAACCAAAUGAAACAAUGUCAGAAGAGAGUGGAAGAGAGGGGGAGAGACAGAGAGAG